rnacentral:rRNA from 1 species
UGGGGAAUAUUGCACAAUGGGGGAAACCCUGAUGCAGCGACGCCGCGUGAGUGAAGAAGUAUUUCGGUAUGUAAAGCUCUAUCAGCAAGGAAGAAAAUGACGGUACUUGACUAAGAAGCCCCGGCUAACUACGUGCCAGCAGCCGCGGUAAUACGUAGGGGGCAAGCGUUAUCCGGAUUUACUGGGUGUAAAGGGAGCGUAGACGGCAAGGCAAGUCAGAAGUGAAAACCCAUGGCUCAACCAUGGGACUGCUUUUGAAACUGUCUGGCUGGAGUGCAGGAGAGGUAAGCGGAAUUCCUAGUGUAGCGGUGAAAUGCGUAGAUAUUAGGAGGAACACCGGUGGCGAAGGCGGCUUACUGGACCGUAACUGACGUUGAGGCUCGAAAGCGUGGGGAGCAAACAGG